GACGAACGCUGGCGGCGUGCUUAACACAUGCAAGUCGAACGAUGAAGCCGGAGCUUGCUCCGGUGGAUUAGUGGCGAACGGGUGAGUAACACGUGAGCAAUCUGCCCUUGACUCUGGGAUAACUGCGGGAAACUGUAGCUAAUACCGGAUACGACACCUUGGGGCAUCCCAGGGUGUGGAAAGAAUUUCGGUCAAGGAUGAGCUCGCGGCCUAGCAGCUAGUUGGUGAGGUAAUGGCUCACCAAGGCGACGACGGGUAGCCGGCCUGAGAGGGGGCCCGGCCACACUGGAACUGAGACACGGUCCAGACGCCUAAGGGAGGCAGCAGUGGGGAAUAUUGCACAAUGGGCGAAAGCCUGAUGCAGCAACGCCGCGUGAGGGAUGAAGGCCUUCGGGUUGUAAACCUCUUUUAGCAGGGAAGAAGCGAAAGUGACGGUACCUGCAGAAAAAGCACCGGCUAACUACGUGCCAGCCGCCGCGGUAA
rnacentral:rRNA from 1 species